rnacentral:rRNA from 1 species
UACGUAGGUGGCGAGCGUUGUCCGGAUUUACUGGGCGUAAAGAGCGCGCAGGCGGUCGUUCAAGUCGCGUGUGAAAGCCCCCGGCUCAACUGGGGAGGGUCACGCGAUACUGAUCGACUCGAAGGCAGGAGAGGGUAGUGGAAUUCCCGGUGUAGUGGUGAAAUGCGUAGAUAUCAGGAGGAACACCGGUGGCGAAGGCGGGUCUCUGGGCAGUAACUGACGCUGAGGAGCGAAAGCGUGGGGGGCGAACAGG